rnacentral:rRNA from 1 species
AGGAACCUGCCUCGGAGUGGGGAAUAACACAACGAAAGCUGUGCUAAUACCGCAUGAUACAGUUGGGUCGCAUGACUCUGACUGUCAAAGAUUUAUCGCUCUGAGAUGGCCUCGCGUCUGAUUAGCUGGUUGGCGGGGUAACGGCCCACCAAGGCGACGAUCAGUAGCCGACCUGAGAGGGUGACCGGCCACAUUGGGACUGAGACACGGCCCAG